rnacentral:siRNA from 1 species
ACGAUUUGGAAACAGUGUCGU